rnacentral:rRNA from 1 species
GAUGAACGCUGGCGGCGUGCCUAAUACAUGCAAGUCGAACGGGGAGUAUUAAUUUCGAUUUUUACUCCUAGUGGCGAACGGGUGAGUAACGCGUUGGUGACCUGCCCCGAAGAGGGGGAUAACUCCGCGAAAGCGGAGCUAAUACCCCAUGUGGUCUUUCAGGUUAGAGGCUGAAUGACUAAAGGAGCAAUCCACUUCGGGAGGGGCCUGCGUCCCAUCAGCUAGUUGGUAGGGUAACGGCCUACCAAGGCGAUGACGGGUAGGGGGCCUGAGAGGGCGGCCCCCCACACUGGCACUGAAACACGGGCCAGACACCUACGGGUGGCAGCAGUAGGGAAUAUUGCACAAUGGGCGAAAGCCUGAUGCAGCAACGCCGCGUGCGCGAAGAAGGCCUUCGGGUUGUAAAGCGCUUUUCUGGAGGAAGAGGAAGGACGGUACUCCAGGAAUAAGGAUCGGCUAACUACGUG